rnacentral:rRNA from 1 species
AUACGUAGGGUGCGAGCGUUAAUCGGAAUUACUGGGCGUAAAGCGUGCGCAGGCGGUUUUGUAAGACAGUGGUGAAAUCCCCGGGCUCAACCUGGGAACUGCCAUUGUGACUGCAAGGCUGGAGUGCGGCAGAGGGGGAUGGAAUUCCGCGUGUAGCAGUGAAAUGCGUAGAUAUGCGGAGGAACACCGAUGGCGAAGGCAAUCCCCUGGGCCUGCACUGACGCUCAUGCACGAAAGCGUGGGGAGCAAACAGGAUUAGAUACCCUGGUAGUCCACGCCCUAAACGAUGUCAACUGGUUGUUGGGAAUUUAUUUUCUCAGUAACGAAGCUAACGCGUGAAGUUGACCGCCUGGGGAGUACGGCCGCAAGGUUAAAACUCAAAGGAAUUGACGGG